UAAAAAAUAAUUUAUUAAUUUUAUUUUUUAAGAAAUUAAAUUUAGUAUUAUUAAUAAAUAUAUUUUUGCAUUUUCUAUAUUGGUAUAUUGUUGUUUUUAAUAAAGAUUUUUUUAUUACCUUUUGUAUCAGGGUUAAUUAAUUUUAUUACUUAUUUUUUUUUCCCGAAAUAAAAAGAUCAAUUAAAUUUUUAUUUUAUUUGUUUAAAAAAAUUAAUUAAUUUUUUUUUUGUAGAGAAACUCUAUUCGAUUUUUAUUAUAUCUGGUUGCUUAAGAUUAAAUUAAAUUUUUUAAUUAUUAUUUAAUUAAUAUUUAAUAAGGGAUAAUCUUUAUUAGUUUAUAAAAUUUUUCGUUUAUUUUAUUUUUAUUAAUUUUUAAAUUUUUUAUUUAGUUAUUAAUAUAUUAUAAUAUUUUAAUAUAAAUUUUAUUUAAUUUAUUUUUUUAUUAGGUUUAUUUAAAAAUUUAAUAUUUAUUUUAAAUUUUGAUUUAAUUAGUAAAAAAAUUUAAAUUAAAUUAUAAUGAACUCGACAAUUAUAAUUUUCAACUGUUUAUCAAAAACAUUUCUUUUAGUUUUUAUUAAAAGUAUAUUCUGCCCUAUGAAUAUUUAAAUGGCUGCAGUAUUUUGACUGUACAAAGGUAGCAUAAUAAUUAGUUUUUUAAUUGAGGACUGGAAUGAAAGAUUAAAUGAGAAAUUAAUUUUAUUUAAUUUAAUAUUUAAAUUUUAUUUUUAGGUAAAAAAGCUUAAUUAUUUUUUUGGGACGAAAAGACCCUAUAGAACUUUAUUAAAAUUUAAAAUUAAUUAUUUAAUUUUAUAUUAAGUUUUAUUAUUUUAAUUUUAUUGGGGUGAUAAAUAAAUUUAAACUUUAUUUUUUUAUUUCAUUAAUUUAUGAUUAUUAUUGAUUAUAUAAUUUAUAUUAAAAGAUAAAGUUACCUUAGGGAUAACAGCGUUAUUUUUUUGGGGAGUUCAUAUCUAUACAAAAGUUUGCGACCUCGAUGUUGAAUUAAGAUAAAUUAAGAAAGAAGUAUUUUUUACAUUAAGUCUGUUCGACUUUUAAAUUCUUACAUGAUUUGAGUUCAAACCGGUGUAAGCCAGGUUGGUUUCUAUCUAAAAAUUUAAAUAUUUAAUUUAGUACGAAAGGACCAAUUAAUUUAUUAUUAAUAUUAAUAUUUAAUAUAC
rnacentral:rRNA from 1 species